GAAGAAGAAAAAGAAGAAUGCAGUAGUAGUGGUAGUAGUAGUUGUUGUUGUAGUAGUUGUAGUAGAAGAAGAAGAAUGUAAUGAUGACACUUUCACAGAAGGAACAGAGAGGAGGAUGAACGAGAGCCGACUCUGCCACAUGCGUCCGGUUUGAUAUAGAAGAAGAAAAAAAGGUGGAAGAAGAAGAAGAAGAAGAAGAAGAAGAAGAAGUAGAAGAAGAAGAAAGUGAAAAAUUCAAUAUGUCUCAAUUUAACUCUUCUAUCUUGAAAUGUAUCUAUUUAUCGCA